AUUGAACGCUGGCGGCAGGCCUAACACAUGCAAGUCGAACGAAGUCUUCGGACUUAGUGGCGGACGGGUGAGUAGCACGUGGGAACGUACCUUUUGGUUCGGAACAACUCAGGGAAACUUGAGCUAAUACCGGAUGAGCCCUUAGGGGGAAAGAUUUAUCGCCGAAAGAGCGGCCCGCGUUAGAUUAGCUAGUUGGUGAGGUAAAGGCUCACCAAGGCUACGAUCUAUAGCUGGUCUGAGAGGAUGAUCAGCCACACUGGGACUGAGACACGGCCCAGACUCCUACGGGAGGCAGCAGUGGGGAAUCUUGCGCAAUGGGCGAAAGCCUGACGCAGCCAUGCCGCGUGAAUGAUGAAGGUCUUAGGAUUGUAAAAUUCUUUUACCAGGGACGAUAAUGACGGUACCUGGAGAAAAAGCCCCGGCUAACUUCGUGCCAGCAGCCGCGGUAACAC
rnacentral:rRNA from 1 species